rnacentral:rRNA from 1 species
CGGCCACCGCUAUUGGAAUACGAUUAAGACAUGCGAGUCGAGAGACAUCUGGUCUCGGCGAGCCGCUCAGUAACACGUGGAUAACAUGCCCUAAGGUGGGGGAUAAUCUCGGGAAACUGAGGAUAAUACCCCAUAGGUCUUCUAUGCUGGAAUGCUCGAAGGCCGAAAACUCCGGUGCCUUAGGAUUGGUCUGCGGCCUAUCAGGCAGUAGUGGGUGUAAUGGACCCACUAGCCCGUGACGGGUAUGGGCCUUGAGAGAGGGAGCCCACAGAUGGACUCUGAGACAUGAGUCCAGGCCCUACGGGGCGCAGCAGUCGCGAAAACUUCGCAAUGGGGGCAACCCCGACGAGGGAAUUCCAAGUGCCAGCACUUUGUGUUGGCUGUUCUCUUGUCUAAAAAACAAGAGGAGUAAGGGGCGGGUAAGACGGGUGCCAGCCGCCGCGGUAAUACCCGCGCCCCAAGUGGUGGUCGAUAUUAUUGAGCCUAAAACGUCCGUAGCCGGUCUUUUAAAUCCUUGGGUAAAUCGGGCAGCUUAACUGUCC